rnacentral:lncRNA from 10 species
AUCUGAAUGAUGAUAUUAGGAAGUAUUUGUAAUUUUCUUAAGUGUAAUAAUGGAACCAUGCUUAUGUAAAGAAAUGGUUUUUAGGAUGUACAUGAUGAAAUAUUUAAGUAUGGCCAGGUGCGGUGGCUCUCCCCUGUAAUCCCAGCACUUUGGAGGCCGAGGCAGGCGGAUCACAAGGUCAAGAUAUUGAGAUCAUCCUGGCCAACAUGGUGAAACCCAGUCUCUACUAAAAAUAUAAAACUUAGCUGGGUGUGGUGGUGUGUGCCUGUAGUCCCAGCUACUUGGGAGGCUGAGGCAGGAGAAUUGCUUGAACCUGGGAGGCAGAGGUUGCAGUGAGCUGAGAUCAUGCCACUGCACUCCAGCCUGGCAACAGAGAGAGACCCCGUCUUAAAAAAAAAAAAAAAUACAAAAGUUAGCCAGGUAUGGUGGUGCACACCUGUUGUCUCAGCUACUAGGGAUGCUAAGGUGGGGGGAUCACUUGAACCUGAAAGGUCAAGGCUGCAGUGAGCUGUGAGUGUGCUACUACACUCCAGCCUGGGCAACAAAGCAAGACCUUGUCUCAAAGAAACAAACAAUCAAAAAUAAAAAAAACAGAGGGAUGGCUAGGCAUGGUGGUGCACGCCUGUAAUCCCGCACUUUUGGAGGCAGAGCAAGGUAGGAGGAUCACUUGAAACCAGGAGUUCGAGAGCAGCCUAGGGAACACAGUGAGACCCUGUCCCUACAAAAAAUUAAAAAUUAGCCAUGUGUGGUGGUGCACACCUAUAGUACUAACUACUUGGGAGGCUGAGGUGGGAGGAGCACUUGAACCAGGGAGAUCAAGGCUGCAGUGAGCCUUGAACAUGCCACUGCAUGCUAACCCCUUGACUCUCAGUCACGUUUUAUUGGGCAGCCCCAAAUUGAUGGAGUCAUCUAAAGAGAGGUAGCUUCCUCAAGUGGAAAAUUAGGCUUGAGGACAAAAAUUCCUUUCCUCCCACCCCCCAAAUUGUAUUAGGAACAAUGUGAAAUAGAAAGAAAGAGCCAGGCAUUUAUUUCAUAGAACUCUUUCCAGGGAAAGCUAUAGAUGCAGUAUAGCCAACUCAAAACACUCCUUCUUCCCUGUUCCUCCUCAAGCCUUACACUCAGUGCCCAAACCCAUGGGUUCCACCUCAGAAACAU